GAUCGUAGAUAAAUUACUUCCUCGGUCUUUGUAAGCCCGCCCGUCCACCAUGAAGAGUUUGUAACACCCAAGCCGGUGCCCUUAUUACAAAAAGUUCCAGCCGACUAAGGGGGACAGAUGAUUGCCUGUGAAGUCGUAACAA
rnacentral:rRNA from 1 species